UUCUAAAUGGGAAGGGAACCAAUAUUUGUUUGCCAGGUACUGUGUUAGGUACUUGAGAGACAUUUAAUUACACUUACUCAGCCCCCAACAACGUGACUGGCCUGAAAUAUCAACACCACCAUUUUAACUGGCUUCAGAUUCCAAAACCCAAAAGCGGCCGCAAAUUCAAGGUCUCGUUCAGACGUCAGCCUGGCUUCGUCAUCAGCAGGAUGAUGUGUUUGUUUUCCGUUAUGAAGGCUAUGAAAAGAAGAAGAAGAAAAAUGCCAGUGGAGGAAGGAAAAACAUAUACUGGCAAAUGUAGGUGAUUCCAUAGAGAAUUUUACAAACAGAUAAUCCAGGAUCAUAAAUCAGAAGAAACCAGUUUAUCUAGAAUGAAGGAGUACAGCCAAGUGACCACCAGCUGCUUCCUCUUCACCCCACUGAGAAAUGACGCAACUUCUGAGCUCCCUAGACAAGAGCUGAACAUCAACCACAACUCUCACUUCUGUUUCUUGGUCCUACUCCUUUAAAGAUUUGGACCACGUAGGUAAAUUCUGCAGCGACCUAAACAACUAAUAA